UCAAAAUGGCCCUGCUGCAGAGACAGCAGAAGUAGGAGAGAGAUUUGAUGUAUGGUUUUUUUCCUGUUAUUGUGAUGAUGUACAGCGUAGUUACUUGUCCUCUGGCUUAUAUAUUUAUUUUAUUAUGUGCCUUUUCGAGUCCUGCCGAAUCUGCAAAAAGCGAUAUUGAACUAGAUGCCAAAGCACAGCAUAACCAUCAGAUUGACAGCUUAAAUUUACUUUUGUAUACAUUCUUACUUACUCUGACAGUGUUAACCAUAUGGCUGUUCAAACACAGGAGAUUUCGAUUUAUCCACGAGACUGGACUAGCUGUGAUUUAUGGCCUUAUUGUGGGAGCUCUUAUACGAUAUGCUGGAAAUGCCAGUUCUGUUGUACACAUGACUGUUGUACCUGAGAAAGACAAAUAUAAUCUGUCUUUGCCUCCGGAUUCCUUAUGGCUACGUUUUCCAAACAAAGGAGGGUCACCAAAUGUUCCAAACAAGACGUAUGCCUAUACAUUCAGAGGAGAAAUUGAUGUUGAUGACAGUGAAAUUGAACUUAAGGCUACAUUUGAUCCAGAAAUAUUUUUCAAUAUUAUAUUACCACCAAUCAUUUUUCAUGCUGGUUAUAGCUUGAAAAGGAAAUACUUCUUUCGGAACCUUGGGGCUAUUUUGACUUACGCACUGAUUGGCACAACACUGUCGUCGUUUGCUGUGGGUGCUUUGAUGUAUGGUUUCAUCCAGUUGCGGCCCUAUCUGAAGUCAAGUUUCACGUUUUUGGAUACUUUAUACUUUGGUGCCCUCAUUUCUCCAACAGAUCCUUUGACAAUAUUAGCCAUUUUCAAUGACCUUCAUGUUGAUGUCAAUUUGUAUGCACUUGUUUUUGGUGAAAGUGUCCUAAAUGAUGCAGUUGCUAUUGUUUUAAGCGGAGCUAUACAAAAUUAUGGAGAAAGGUACCAAUCAGGAUCAGGAGGUUUUGAAACUGAUGCAUUCUUUAGAGCAUUGGGGGAUUUCUUCGUGAUUUUCAGUUUAUCUCUCCUGAUUGGAACUGUCAUGGGAUGCAUUACAGCCUUGAUGACCAAGUUCACGAGGGUGAGGGAUUUUCCUCUCCUGGAAUCAGCUUUGUUUGUGCUGAUGUCAUACAGCACGUUUCUUAUCGCAGAGGCAUCUGACCUCACAGGUAUUGUGGCUGUCCUGUUUUGUGGAAUCUGUCAAGCACAUUAUACCUACAACAAUUUGUCCGUAGACUCUCGAACAAGGACAAAGAAGUUGUUUGAACUGCUCAACUUUCUUGCUGAAAAUUUUAUAUUUGUAUACAUAGGUGUUUCUAUGUUCACAUUCCCAAAACACCAUUUUGAUCCUGGAUUCAUCAUUGUGGGAUUUUUAUGUGCAAUGGUGGGUCGUGCAGUAAACAUUUAUCCUCUAUCAUUCCUUUUAAAUCUAGGCAGGAAACCAAAGAUCGCAUAUAACUUUCAGCAUAUGUUGUUUUUUGCAGGUCUGAGGGGAGCUAUGUCUUUCGCAUUGGCCAUCCGAAAUACUGUGUCAGAUGCAAGGCAAGCCAUGUUGACAACUACUUCACUGAUAGUUAUCAUCACAGUAAUAGUGCAAGGUGGUGCAACAAUGCAAUUGUUGACGUGGUUCAAGAUACCAUCCCAUCAAGAAGGAGAACCUUCAGGGAUGUGGGACGAAUCAAGUGUCGGGGUGGAAGAAGAAGUAGAAAUGCUUCCCUAUACAGGAGUUAGAAAUGUAUACAAUUCAAUGGGGACAACAUUGAGGGAGGACACAUCGGAGCAGCCUCGUGAGAGCAACAAAGUCAAUGAAAAAGCUUGGCUUGCUCGUAUUUGGGGGAACUUUGAUGUAAGAUAUAUGAAACCAUUGUUGACACAUGCACGUCCCACACUAUUGGAAACCCUUCCUGUAUGCUGUAAUCCUCUCGCAAGAGUUUUGACAACAACUGAGCAAAUGACACAGGAGAAUCGUUCCAGAUCACAAAUGGAUUCUGAUUCCGAUUUGUGUAUAGAUGACAAUGAUGUCAGUUACACAAAUCACCGUCGAUCCAGUGGUGCGAGAAACUUAUACGUAUCUAGUCCACAACAAACUGGGAACCGCCUUUAAUUGUGAAGUUUGAGAAGUUCUGUUGUGCUCUUAUGCUGAAGCAGAAAUGGGCUUUGUGAUUCUGUUUUAUAAUAGUGACAGUGUGACAAUAUCUGGUGAUUUAGGCCUUGGCAGUCGUGUAGUGGACACACGUGUUCGAAUCCCUGGACCUGGUGGAAAUAACAUUUAAUCUGAUUAGGAAGUAUCAGGAAGGCUGUGAAAUAAGAAGAACACAACAGUAUU
rnacentral:misc_RNA from 1 species